CCUACGGGAGGCAGCAGUGGGGAAUAUUGGACAAUGGGCGAAAGCCUGAUCCAGCCAUGCCGCGUGUGUGAAGAAGGCCUUCGGGUUGUAAAGCACUUUCAGUGGGGAAGAAAGCCUUGGGGCUAAUACCCUCGAGGAAGGACAUCACCCACAGAAGAAGCACCGGCUAACUCCGUGCCAGCAGCCGCGGUAAUACGGAGGGGUGCGAGCGUUAAUCGGAAUUACUGGGCGUAAAGCGCGCGUAGGCGGUCUGAUAAGCCGGUUGUGAAAGCCCCGGGCUCAACCUGGGAACGGCAUCCGGAACUGUCAGGCUAGAGUGCAGGAGAGGAAGGUAGAAUUCCCGGUGUAGCGGUGAAAUGCGUAGAGAUCGGGAGGAAUACCAGUGGCGAAGGCGGCCUUCUGGACUGACACUGACGCUGAGGUGCGAAAGCGUGGGUAGCAAACAGGAUUAGAUACCCGUGUAGUC
rnacentral:rRNA from 1 species